AAAGUACUCCCUCCGUCCCAAAAUUCUUGCCUUAGAUUUGUCUAGAUACAGAUGUAUCAAGUCACAUUUUAGUAUUAGAUACAUCCGUAUCUAGACAAAUCUAAGACAAGAAAUUUGGGACAGAUGGAGUAGUUG
rnacentral:pre_miRNA from 1 species